GGGGAAUAUUGCGCAAUGGGGGGAACCCUGACGCAGCAACGCCGCGUGAAGGAAGAAGGCCUUCGGGUUGUAAACUUCUUUGAUGAGGGACGAAGGAAGUGACGGUACCUCAAAAACAAGCCACGGCUAACUACGUGCCAGCAGCCGCGGUAAUACGUAGGUGGCGAGCGUUGUCCGGAAUUACUGGGUGUAAAGGGCGCGUAGGCGGGGAUGUAAGUCAGAUGUGAAAUACCAUGGCUCAACUGUGGGGCUGCAUCUGAAACUAUGUUUCUUGAGUGCUGGAGAGGAAAGCGGAAUUCCUAGUGUAGCGGUGAAAUGCGUAGAUAUUAGGAGGAACACCAGUGGCGAAGGCGGCUUUCUGGACAGUAACUGACGCUGAGGCGCGAAAGCGUGGGGAGCAAAC
rnacentral:rRNA from 1 species